rnacentral:lncRNA from 1 species
CAAACACUUCAGAGUCCUGUUUUCUCAGAAUCAGGGGAUUGAAAAUGACCUUAAAUAUCAUUUAAUUUGUUUAGCCCCACUCCCCUUUUUUCUUUUCUCUUUUCCCCUUUUCUCACCCACAGAAAGUCAGUGUCCUUCUGUUUGUGCCUGCUGGCCUUUUGCUGCCAAUAUCUGAGCAAAGUUGCUCCAUAUGACCCUGUGAUAUUGGCAGAUCACAAGAUUUGUCUCAAGUCAUUCAGUAUCAGAUCCCAGAAGUAGCAACUCUUCUUUUGCUGAUGCCUAUCCAUCUAUUUGUCUAUCUCUCCAUCCAUCUAUCUACUUAUCCAUCCAUCUGUCCAUCCAUCCA